CAGCAGCCACGGUAAUACGUAGGGGGCAAGCGUUAUCCGGAAUUACUGGGUGUAGAGGGAGCGUAGACGGUUAAACAAGUCUGAAGUGAAAUGCCGGGGCUCAACCCCGGAGCUGCUUUGGGAACUGUAGAACUGGAGUGUCGGAGGGGUAAGCGGAAUUCCCAGUGUAGCGGUGAAGUGCGUAGAUAUUGGGAGGAACACCGGCGGCGAAGGCGGCUUACUGGACGACAACUGACGUUGAGGCUCGAAGGCGUGGGUAGCAAACAGGAUUAGAUACCCCCGUAGUCCCUGUCUCUUAUAC
rnacentral:rRNA from 1 species